UCCUCUGUAGUUCAGUCGGUAGAACGGCGACUGUUAAUCCACAUGCAUAUACUGGUUCGAGUCAGUCAGAGGGA
rnacentral:tRNA from 1 species